rnacentral:rRNA from 1 species
GCCGCCAGCUAGCUCUCUGCAACUCUCACAUGGUCGCCCACUGAAGCUAAGCAGGGCUGCGCCCGGUCAGUACCUGAAUGGGAGACCACAUGGGAAAGCUAGGUUGCUGCUGGAU